UGGUUGGAUCCCUGCUUGGGCAGCGACAUCCCCCGUGCAAGCCUCUUCAAUUUUCGGCCCAAGAGCAACUUUGCCUUGGCCGUGYGUCGGUUUCCUGUGUUGUGUACCUACUGAAAUGGAAUUCGAAAGUGAGACAUUUUGUUAUUCACCUUGUGCUGUCCCAUCGGUUGUCCCUUUGGGGUGCGGUGUCGGGUGAACCUCGAAGUGAUCUUCAUGUUCUUCGUCAUCCAAUGAAUGCGUUGUUGGCGCGGCCCACGAAGAUUGCUUGAGCUCUCGGAUGCGGAAUAUGCGGAGGGUAGUAGGCCUAYGGCCUCACUUUGCCCGAAUUAAGCGUUUAUUCGCUCGUUACCGAACGACGGCCGGUGGUGCGUUGAUGUGUCGGAGCCCUCGGUUUCUGGCAUCGUCAUGCUUCGCCGGCGUCAGUGAGGAAUGCUACCUGGUUGAUCCUGCCAGUAGUCAUAUG
rnacentral:misc_RNA from 1 species